rnacentral:lncRNA from 1 species
GUAUGACAAAGUGGUGGCCGGGCACGGUGAGGUGCGCUGGCAGCUGUGUGACGCAGUGGUGGCCGGGCACUGUGAGGUGCACUGGCAGCUGUGUGGAUAUGUCAAAGUGGUGGCCUGGCAUGGUGAGGUGCACUGGCAGCUGUGUGGUGUGACGCAGUGGUGGCCUGGCACGGUGAGGUGCGCUGGCAGCUGUGUGACGCAGUGGUGGCCUUGCACGGUCAGCUGUACUGGCAGGUGUAUGAUGAAGUGGUGGCAUGGCACGGUGAGGUGCGCUGGCAGCUGUGUGAUGCAGUGGUGGCCUGGCACAGUGAGGUGCGCUGGCAGCUGUGUGGUGUGACGCAGUGGUGGCCUGGCACGGUGAGGUGCGCUGGUAGCUGUGUGACGCAGUGGUGGCCUGGCACAGUCAGGUGGGCUAGCAGCUGUUUUAUGCAGUUGUGGCUGGUCACAGUGAGGUUCACUGGCAGAUGUGUGGUGCGACGCAGUGGUGGCCUGGCAUGGUGAGGUGCGCUGGUAGCUGUGUGAUGCGGUGGUGGCCUGACACGGUGAG